rnacentral:rRNA from 1 species
UACGAAGGGUGCAAGCGUUACUCGGAAUUACUGGGCGUAAAGCGUGCGUAGGCGGUUUGUCGCGUCUGCCGUGAAAGUCCGGGGCUCAACUCCGGAUCUGCGGUGGGUACGGGCAGACUAGAGUGAUGUAGGGGAGACUGGAAUUCCUGGUGUAGCGGUGAAAUGCGCAGAUAUCAGGAGGAACACCGAUGGCGAAGGCAGGUCUCUGGGCCGAUAUUGACGCUGAGGAGCGAAAGCGUGGGGAGCGAACAGG